GACGAACCGUGCGAACGUUGUUCGGAUUCACUGGGCUUAAAGGGCGCGUAGGCGGGCGGUCAAGUCAGGGGUGAAAUCUUUCGGCUCAACCGGAAAAGUGCCUUUGAUACUGGCCGUCUCGAGGGAGGUAGGGGCAUGCGGAACUUCCGGUGGAGCGGUGAAAUGCGUAGAUAUCGGAAGGAACGCCGGUGGCGAAAGCGGCGUGCUGGACCUCUUCUGACGCUGAGGCGCGAAAGCCAGGG
rnacentral:rRNA from 1 species